rnacentral:rRNA from 1 species
CCCUUAGAUGUCCUGGGCCGCACGCGCGUUACACUGAUGCAUUCAACGAGCUUAUAACCUUGGCCGAGAGGCCUGGGCAAUCUUGUUAACGUGCAUCGUGAUAGGGAUAGAUUAUUGAAAUUAUUAAUCUUGAACGAGGAAUUCCUAGUAAACGCAGAUCAUCAAUCUGCAUUGAUUACGUCCCUGCCCUUUGUACACACCGCCCGUCGCACCUACCGAUUGGAUGGUCCGGUGAAGCCUCGGGAUUGUGGUUCUUGCCGCUUUAUUGUGGCGUGACCGCGAGAACUUGUCUAAACCUUAUCAUCUAGAGGAAGGUGAAGUCGUAACU